CUGACUGCCGAGUUGGAGUACAUCGACUGUAAAUCGAAGGGCGCGGGUUCGAGUCCCGCCGGUUUGGCCA
rnacentral:tRNA from 1 species